AGAGUUUGAUCCUGGCUCAGGAUGAACGCUAGCGACAGGCUUAACACAUGCAAGUCGAGGGGCAGCGAGGGCGUAGCAAUACGCCUGUCGGCGACCGGCGCACUGGUGAGUAACACGUAUGCGACCUGCCCCCUACAGGGGUAUAACCCGUAGAAAUGCGGACUAAUCCCCCAUAGUCCCGUAGGCUGCAUGGCCUUCGGGGGAAAGGGUUUCCGGUAGGGGAUGGGCAUGCGGCGCAUUAGCUAGUUGGCGGGGCAACGGCCCACCAAGGCGACGAUGCGUAGGGGUUCUGAGAGGAAGGUCCCCCACACUGGUACUGAGACACGGACCAGACUCCUACGGGAGGCAGCAGUGAGGAAUAUUGGUCAAUGGGCGCAGGCCUGAACCAGCCAAGUCGCGUGAGGGAUGACGGUCCUACGGAUUGUAAACCUCUUUUGUCGGGGAGUAACGUGCGGGACGCGUCCCGUAUUGAGAGUACCCGAAGAAAAAGCAUCGGCUAACUCCGUGCCAGCAGCCGCGGUAAUACGGAGGAUGCGAGCGUUAUCCGGAUUUAUUGGGUUUAAAGGGUGCGCAGGCGGCGCGCCAAGUCAGCGGUCAAAGUUCCGGGCUCAACCCGGUGUCGCCGUUGAAACUGGCGUGCUCGAGUGCGUGCGAGGAAGGCGGAAUGCGUUGUGUAGCGGUGAAAUGCAUAGAUAUGACGCAGAACUCCGAUUGCGAAGGCAGCUUUCCAGCGCGCUACUGACGCUGAGGCACGAAAGCGUGGGGAUCGAACAGGAUUAGAUACCCUGGUAGUCCACGCAGUAAACGAUGACUACUAGCUUUCCGGAACGAUUGAGUUUUGGGAGGCACAGCGAAAGCGUUAAGUAGUCCACCUGGGGAGUACGCCGGCAACGGUGAAACUCAAAGGAAUUGACGGGGGCCCGCACAAGCGGAGGAACAUGUGGUUUAAUUCGAUGAUACGCGAGGAACCUUACCCGGGCUUGAAUUGCAGAGGAAGGAUUUGGAGACAAUGACGCCCUUCGGGGUCUCUGUGAAGGUGCUGCAUGGUUGUCGUCAGCUCGUGCCGUGAGGUGUCGGCUUAAGUGCCAUAACGAGCGCAACCC
rnacentral:rRNA from 1 species